CUUUUUCCUUCCCGCCGUGCCCCGCGGCCGGGCCGGGGCAGCCGGGAAGCGGGUGGGGUGGUGUGUUACCCAGUAGCUCCUGGGACAUCGCUCGGGUACGCUCCACGCCGUCGCAGCCACUGCUGUGGUCGCCGGUCGGCCGAGGGGCCGCGAUACUGGUUGCCCGCGGUGUAAGCAGAAUUCGACGUGUAUCGCUGCCGUCAAGAUGGAGGGGCCUUUGUCCGUGUUCGGUGACCGCAGCACUGGGGAAACGAUCCGCUCCCAAAACGAAAGGGCCUCGGGGCCCCGCAGCCGGACCCAGCCCACCCGCCGUUCUCUGGGGCAGGGCGCUGUGGCCCCACUUUUCCCACAGCGAGGAGGAGCCCCGCCGCGCGCGGCAGGGUUUUGAGACCGGCAACGCGUGGAUGUGGUGUCCGGGGCGGCGUUGGAAACGCGCCCUCCGCGGGAAAGCGGGCCUCCCGGGCUCGCACGUGCGGGCCACGCCUCGCACCCCCUUUUGUUUCAGGGCGACCCCCUGAGUGUCCAUGUUAAACGCCAGGUUUUAUUUUAGGACCAUUUACCAGAAAAAGAGUAGGUCCAUCCGCGCGCCCUCGGAUGAGCCCGGUGCCCUGUCCGCCCGCAGCUGCAGUCGAGGUCGGGCGUCCGGCGUCCAGCCGUAUCCGGGUUGACAGCUUCUUACAGUAGAGUUAGCCCAGGAAACGCCACUCGAGUGCAUUGACCCCAGGAGACGGCAGCGCUAACUUAGCAGAGCGUUUGCUGUCAGGCCUUUGGAUACCUACAGAGCUUACUGUUUCUUGAUAGAUUCCUAAUUUUUUUCGUAAACAAAUCUGAAAGUCACCACCUUCCCCGUUGACUACCGAUUUCUCUCCUCACAGAUAAAGAGAGUUUUAAUGAGCAAAAAACUUGCAGAAUCUGAAGGAAAAGGCUGGUAUAGCUGUACGAAGUGGCAGAGCAUGAAAUUGGUGGUUAUUACUUUUUUUUUUUUUCCCCGCCAUCAGAUUCCACCCCGCAUCAAAGCUGUGCCAAAUAGGCUCGCUUUGUUUAGGGACAGGGUCCCACCUGUCGCCCAGACGAGAGUGCCAUCAUAGCUCACUGCAUUCUCCAAGCACAGGUCCGCGCCGCCGCAUCCGGCUUU
rnacentral:lncRNA from 10 species